rnacentral:rRNA from 1 species
AUGCAACGGAAUGUAUUUGGUUGCUAUUCACACGAAUCUCAUAGUCACACUGCUAUAUGGGUGACAUUUAGAUCCCUUGGAACUAUUCAAUCUCUGACAAGAACCAUGCAACGGAAUGUAUUUGGUUGCUAUUCACACGAAUCUCAUAGUCACACUGUUAUACGGGUGACAUUUAGAUCCCUUGGAACUAUUCAAUCUCUGACAAGAACCAUGCAACGGAAUGUAUUUGGUUGCUAUUCACACGAAUCUCAUAGUCACACUGCUAUAUGGGUGACAUUUAGAUCCCUUGGAACUAUUCAAUCUCUGACAAGAACCAUGCAACGGAAUGUAUUUGGUUGCUAUUCACACGAAUCUCAUAGUCACACUGUUAUACGGGUGACAUUUAGAUCCCUGGGAACUAUUCAAUCUCUGACAAGACCAUGCAAAUCAGGAUUCGACGUAUCAAAUAACUCACUUGUCCAAAGUUUAGAAAGCUGUUGCUAUAGAGAGUGUAUGUUGUUCCCCCAAAAGUAA